rnacentral:tRNA from 1 species
UCUACUUUGGUGUAUAGCAUGACUACUUUUCGUGUAGUUGGAGAUUUAGAUCAAGUAGCA